rnacentral:lncRNA from 1 species
AAGAAUUUAGUGUCUAUUUUAUGUUCUUGUUAUCUAUUUUAUUAGGAGUAGAUUAAUUCUAGUGUUCUUGGUAGAUUUCAAUAUUUGCACUAGCCUAAGAUGCUUCCAUUCUCGUACUCAUUCCUCCAUGACAACCAUAUAUUCUCAUCCCAUACUUACAAUCACCCAUUGUUACCCACUUAUUAUCAUUAACAUUCUUACCAUACCUCACAACCUCACGAACUUUUACAUUCAUUUCUAGAAUGACAAAUACCAAUACCUGAGCCUUAUUUCCAUUCCUUUCAAUAAUGGCCAACACCAUAAUCACCCCCAAAAAUACUAAUACAACCAUGCUAUUUCACCUCCCAACCAUCUUAUUCGACAUAUCCUCAUUUUCAUCAACAAAUCUCAUAGCCACAACCUAAUCGUUCACCAUUUCAGAUCUAUGACUCCUACUCUCAACCUUAGAAGAAAUAUCUUGAUUUAAAUGGCAUAAAGUAUUUCUAUAUACAUGGGAAAUUCCUCAGCCAACACUCUUUUCACCACCACCUUCUCACAUCUCAACACCCCACUUUGUUCAUCCCCUAAUUGUAUAUUUAUUUAACGAGAUAAGAGAGUUACUCCAUAAAUUACAAGAAGAUCUAUAUGAUAGACAUAUCUCCAACAUCUCUAAAUAGGGACAAAUCUGGUCCUUGGUUUUGAAAACUGGUCUGCCUAGUUCUAGAGGAGACAACUCACACUAGCCCCUCAAGUCCUUCAGCAUUGAUACACGGUCUGAAGGACCUGUCAAGGGCCAAAUAAUUCCACUGUUGGGUGUGAACAUCUGGGCACUACAUGCCAAACCACAUUCACUUGGUACUGUUGAUGAUGAACUUAAUGUCACAGUUGUUAUACCCACAUCCAGCAGGAAAACCAAAUUUACUCUAUCUUUCUCUCCCAUAUUGAUAGCUCUAGUACACACAAGGAAGGACAAACCUCCUACUCUACCCGGUGCACUUUAUGGACAACUCCAAUCUAACCGUGAUGAAGACCCAAAUGUGGUUUAAGAUGGACAUAAGCCUAAUCUGUCCAUGGCUAGAGAAAAUUCACAGCCCACAACUCAAUCCUCCAGCCUUGAGGACAAUGUUAAUUUUAAAGGGGUCGGUAGCGAUAUGAUGUUUGUCAUGGGAUUUAUUAGAAAGGGG